CACGUAGGGUGCGAGCGUUGUCCGGAAUUAUUGGGCGUAAAGAGCUCGUAGGCGGUGUGUCGCGUCGGCCGUGAAAACCUGCAGCUUAACUGUGGGCUUGCGGUCGAUACGGGCAUCACUGGAGUUCGGCAGGGGAGACUGGAAUUCCUGGUGUAGCGGUGAAAUGCGCAGAUAUCAGGAGGAACACCGGUGGCGGAGGCGGGUCUCUGGGCCGGUACUGACGCUAAGGCGCGAAAGCGUGGGGAGCAAACAGG
rnacentral:rRNA from 1 species